GUGGGCGUAGUUCAGUGGCAGAACGCCUGACUGUGGCUCAGGAGGUCGCGGGUUCGAUACCCGUCGCCCACCCCA
rnacentral:tRNA from 3 species